rnacentral:miRNA from 1 species
GUGGUUGUGGCAUAGACCUCA